rnacentral:rRNA from 1 species
AUGCCCUAUAGUUCGUCCUUCAGGUUCGUACCAGAGAUUGGCAUUGUACAAGACGGGGAAGAUAUCACAGACAAGACGCUGAAGACAUUCGAAGACCAGUUCAAGGAGCAACUCCCAGAGGCGGUCAUGGCAGCCUUGCGAGGCUUGUUCAAAGUUGAUGAUGUUGUUGCUGGAGAGGUGGAGGAGGCCCUAAUCAACCACAGGGAACAAUAUUAUGUGGUUCAGUCUACGUACUAUAAGGGGUUGUUCAUGGAUGCAUGCUUGGAUGCCAUGACAGUGAGGUGGGUCGAGUGUAGAGACCACCUGAUGCUAUUUUGGUGUUUGUCUAUGCUUCCUGUGUGGAAUGCGUGGCAGAGAAGCCCAGAUUGUCUUGUGGGCGAUGCUUUUAGCCGGGCUGUGGCUGUGUUAGGGGGCCUAAACUGUGUCAAUCGGCGUUCCACCGUCCAUGAAACCAUUGCAGCAACAACCUGUCAUGUUGCCUGCCUACAGGAGACCAAACUUGAUCAUAUGGAGCAAUUCAUUGCCUCUUACCUGGGUGGUAAUAGGCUGCGCAGCUUUGCUCAUCGGCCAGCUACUGGCACUAGGGGUGGCAUACUGAUGUUAUGGGACGACAAUGCUGUCCAGAUUUCCGACGUGGUCAGCACCGUCUACUGUCUCUCGGCCAUGGUUCUCAUACGUGCAACUGGGAAUAUGUUCAAGAUCACUAUGGUGUAUGGCCCAACUGAACCUUCUUGCAAAGACGCAUUCUUUGCGGAACUGCUCGCCCAAAAGCCAGCGCCCGGGACCAAAUGGCUCACGUUGGGCGAUUUCAAUCAAAUCUAUCGCGCUAGGGACAAAAAUAAGAGAAAUAUCAAUCGCUCACGCAUCAACCUUUUUCGCAACGCCCUUCAUGCUUGUGAGCUCAACGAAAUACAUCUUCAGAACCGCAAGUUCACUUGGAGCAAUGAAAGAGAUAACCCGACUCUGUGCAAGUUAGAUGCAUUUUUUUUUGCAACGUUGACUGGGACACUUCCUUCAGCACUCACGUGUUGCAUGCCCUCUCCUCGUCGCUGUCCGAUCACUGUCCCCUUCUUCUUGCGGAUGAUAGUGGGCCCCCCUUAUCAGAGGCUUUUUCACAAGCUCAAGAAGACAGGUCUAAGACUCACCGAAUGGAGUAGGAAAUUAUUCUCCAAGUCUAAAGUGCACCUCCAUGCCGCUCUGCUCGUGAUCCUUCGGCUGGACACCGCUCAAGAGGGCCGUGCGCUCUCCAUCCCUGAGCAAGAUCUGCGGGCCAAGCUCAAACGGAGGGUCGUGAGCUUGGCGGUAUUAGAGAGAGCAAGAAAGAAGCAAUGUGCGAGAAUUUCCAAUCUGAGAGAGGGUGACGCAAACACCAAAUUCUUCCACCUGAGGGUAAACGCGAGGCGUAGGAAGAAUCACAUUCACAGGAUACAACACAACAAUGGUUGGGUUAUGGACCAUCAACAAAAAGAGAACUUGAUCUAUGAGCACUUUUCCAAUGUUCUGGGAAAAGGGACCAGGAGGUCCAUGGACUUCAAUUGGGAUGAGCUGGGCCUCGAGGACCAGGACCACGAGGAUGCUAGCAUGUUUCUUGAUGAACUUGUACAUAUCUACCACUGUCCGCUCCCCCUCAAAAGUGAUCUGAAAAGGAGAAUAUCAUGGGCAGUAGCGGAUCUACAGCCCGGGCUGCCCUUGCUGCAGACUUGGUCUUGGACAAGAAAACAUCACUCGAGCUACUAA